UACCUUAGCUGGCCUGCCCUUUCCUCAUCCCGCCCCUCCAGAAUUCUGCCAUUCUGAAGUCACUUGGACUUCUCCCUGGAGAUCUUUGACCAUACACGGUCUUCUCUUCUUCAAGCCAUGUUGAUCAAGAGUUGAUUUACAUCAAGGCAUCAGUGAAGCCUUCUAACCCACUUGCCUCUGAAGAUCUAUGUGGAUUGGUGUGUGCCUCAGUUGAAUAAAAUAGCAACCGACAGAUUGGACAUCAUUGAAAACCACGGAUUGAACCGGCAGGCUCGCUUCCUCCUGUCAGAAGAAGAACUGUCUCUUCGCUUUGAGCUAGACGCUUCGGUGUUUAGAAAAGUCUUCAAUGGCCAGGCAAGCUCAGGGGAAAACUACGUCAGCAAAGGCUGCCCAAAACCUAGCUAAAAGCAAUAGAAUACUCCAUUUCAGAGAGAA